UGUUUAAAGACUGAGGAAGGGGGAGCCCAUUUCAGCAUCUCCAGCCUGGCUGAAGGCAGUGUUACCUCUGUUGGAAGUGUGAAUCCUGCCGAAAACUUCCAUGUUCUAGUGAAACGGAAGAAUGCCAGCUUUGAGGAAGCAAGUGACCAGGUCAUAAAUCACAUCAAACAGUUUUUGGAUACUAAUGAAACGACAUAUUUUAUGAAGAGCAUGGACUGCAUCAGAGCCUUCCAGGAAGAAGCCAUUAAGUUUUCAGAAGAGUAGCGCUUUAACAACUUCCUGUAAGCCCUUCGAGAGAAAGUGGAAAUUAAACAAUUAAAUCAUUUCUGGGAAAUUGUUGUUCAGCAUGAAAUUACUCUGAUCACCAAAGAGGAAGCCUCUGGAAGUUCUGUCACAGCUGAGGAAGCCAAAGGUUUCUGGCUUCCAAAGAAAAAACAAGUGAAGAUACAGCAGACAUAUUUGAAGAAGGUGGUGAUGUGGACGAUUUAUUGGAAAUGAUAUGGGUCAUGGAUGUGUGGAGAAUAUAAGACAGCUGCCGUCGCUGUGAUGCUGGGAGUUCUAACAAAACAAGUUGGAGGUGGCCAUUCAAGGGGAGCCAGAAGCCCUGGAGAAAUUCCCAGCAGGUUACCAGGAGGCGGAUCACCUAAUUCUCUGUGGAAUGAAUACACACAUAUAUAUUACAAGGGAUAAUUUAGACCCCAUACAAGUUUAUAAAGAGUCAUCGUUAAAAAAAAA